rnacentral:tRNA from 1 species
AAGAGGUGUAUUAACAAUUA